AGCGAACGCUGGCGGCAGGCCUACACAUGCAAGUCGAACGGACCCUUCGGGGUUAGUGGCGGACGGGUGAGUAACACGUGGGAACGUGCCUUUUGGUUCGGAAUAGCUCCUGGAAACGGGUGGUAAUGCCGAAUGUGCCCUUUGGGGGAAAGAUUUAUCGCCAUUAGAGCGGCCCGCGUCUGAUUAGCUAGUUGGUGAGGUAAAGGCUCACCAAGGCGACGAUCAGUAGCUGGUCUGAGAGGAUGACCAGCCACAUUGGGACUGAGACACGGCCCAAACUCCUACGGGAGGCAGCAGUGGGGAAUCUUGCGCAAUGGGCGAAAGCCUGACGCAGCCAUGCCGCGUGAAUGAUGAAGGUCUUAGGAUUGUAAAAUUCUUUCACCGGGGACGAUAAUGACGGUACCCGGAGAAGAAGCCCCGGCUAACUUCGUGCCAGCCGCCGCAGUAAGAC
rnacentral:rRNA from 1 species